rnacentral:rRNA from 1 species
GAGUACCGCAGGACACGAGGAAUCCGGCGGGAAGCAGGGGGGACCACCCUCCAAGGCUAAAUACUGAGUGGCGACCGAUAGAGCAGAGUACCGUGAGGGAAAGGUGAAAAGAACCCCGGAAGGGGAGUGAAAGAGAACCUGAAACCCUGCGUUUACAAGCAGAGAGAGCACGAUAUAUGUGCGAUCUCGUACUUUUUGUAGAACGGACCGGCGAGUUACGAUACGGAGCAAGGUUAAGGACUGAAAGGUUUGAAGCCGAAGGGAAACCGAGUCUGAAAAGGGCGACAAGUUGCGUGUCGUAGACCCGAAACCGGGCGAUCUACCCAUGGUCAGGGUGAAGUGAGAGUAAAAUCUCAUGGAGGCCCGAACCACACGUCCGUGAAAAGGGCGGGGAUGAACUGUGGGUAGGGGAGAAAUUCCAAUCGAGCUCGGAGAUAGCUGGUUCUCCUCGAAAUAGCUUUAGGGCUAGCCUCGGGGGAAAGAUCCGCGGAGGUAGAGCACUGAAUGGGCUAGGGGGCCACAAAGCUUACCGAACCCUAUCAAACUUCGAAUGCCGUAGGAUUGUUAACCGGGAGUCAGACAGUGGGAGAUAAGUUUCAUUGUCAAAAGGGAAACAGCCCAGAUCAACAGCUAAGGCCCCCAAGUGUAAGUUAAGUGGAAAAGGAUGUGCAAGCGCAUAGACAACCAGGAUGUUGGCUUAGAAGCAGCCAUACAUUAAAAGAGUGCGUAAUAGCUCACUGGUCGAGUGAAUGUGCGCCGAAGAUGAAACGGGGCUAAACUUACCGCCGAAGCUUUGGGAUCGCCGGUAUCAUUGAUAUGACUUGAGAGAGAGGAAGCGCGCGAGAAGGGAAGAGAGCCGCGAAAGGAAGCGGAGGAAGCGCGAGAAGGGAAAGGUCAAGUAGUAUCAAUGAUGCCGGGGAUCGGUAGAGGAGCAUUGUAUGCGCGCAGAAGCAUAACCGGAAGGAUAUGUGGAGUGCAUAGAAGAGAGAAUGCCGGUAUGAGUAACGCGAGCGGAGUGAGAAACUUCGCGGUCGAAAGCCUAAGGAUUCCUGGGGAAGGAUUGUCCGCCCAGGGUAAGUCGGGACCUAAGCCGAGGACGGAAGUCGUAGGCGAUGGAAAGCCGGUGGAGAUUCCGGCACCACCCGAAGCGUUAAGAGAAGCAGUGACACGGAAGGAUAGCCCGAGCGGGGUGAUGGUCAACCCCGUGCAAGCGAGCAGGGUGUGAGGCAGUGAAGUACACCUCACAGAAGCCCGAGACGUGACGCGGAGCGAAAAGAAGUAGCGAAGCGGGUAAAUCCAGGCUGGCGAGAAAAGCUGCUAUCGAGCUAAAAGGUGCCCGUACCGCAAACCGACACAGGUAGGCGAGGAGAGAAUCCUAAGACGAACGGGAGAACCCUUGUUAAGGAACUCGGCAAAAUGGCCCCGUAACUUCGGGAGAAGGGGCGCCGCCGCGAGGCGGCCGCAGUGAAAAGGCCCAAGCGACUGUUUAUCAAAAACACAGGUAUCUGCGAAAGCGAGAGCUGAAGUAUAGGUGCUGACGCCUGCCCGGUGCUGGAAGGUUAAGGGGAAGAGUUAGGGGAAACCCGAAGCUCAGAACCGAAGCCCCAGUAAACGGCGGCCGUAACUAUAACGGUCCUAAGGUAGCGAAAUUCCUUGUCGGGUAAGUUCCGACCCGCACGAAUGGCGUAAUUGGGCACUGUCUCAACAAGGGACCCGGUGAAAUUGAAGUAUGUGUAAAGAUGCACAUUACCCGCGACUGGACGGAAAGACCCCGUAGAGCUUUACUGUAGCCUGAUAUUGGAUUUCGGCAACAGAUGUACAGGAUAGGUGGGAGGCUAAGAAGCGAGGACGUCAGUCUUCGUGGAGCCACUGUUGGGAUACCACUCUUCUGUUGCUGGAGUUCUAACUUAUUACAGUUAUCCUGGGUAAGGACAGUGUCAGGUGGGCAGUUUGACUGGGGCGGUCGCCUCCGAAAGAGUAACGGAGGCGCCCAAAGGUUGCCUCAGAAUGGAUGGAAACCAUUCGAAGAGUGUAAAGGCAGAAGGCAGCUUGACUGCGAGACUGACGAGUCAAGCAGAGACGAAAGUCGGGCUUAGUGAUCCGGCGGUAGAGAGUGGAAUUGCCGUCGCUAAACGGACAAAAGCUACCUCGGGGAUAACAGGCUGAUACCCCCCAAGAGUCCACAUCGACGGGGGUGUUUGGCACCUCGAUGUCGGCUCGUCGCAUCCUGGGGCUUGAAGCAGGUCCCAAGGGUUUGGCUGUUCGCCAAUUAAAGCGGCACGCGAGCUGGGUUCAGAACGUCGUGAGACAGUUCGGUCCCUAUCCAUCGUGGGUCAUGAGAGGAGCUGUUCCUAGUACGAGAGGACCGGAAUGGACGUACCACUGGUGCAACAGUUGUCCUGCCAAGGGCACGGCUGGGAAGCGAAGUACGGACGGGAUAAACGCUGAAAGCAUCUAAGCGUGAAGCCCCCCUCAAGAAGAAGACUGCCACGCGAAAGCGGUAAGGCCCCUUGCAGACGACAAGGUAGAUAGGCCGGCGGUGAAGGCGCAGCAAUGCGCGAGCUUGCCGGUACUAAUGGGCCGAGGGCUUGAUCUA